CCUACGGGAGGCAGCAGUGGGGAAUAUUGGGCAAUGGACGCAAGUCUGACCCAGCAACGCCGCGUGAAGGAAGAAGGCUUUCGGGUUGUAAACUUCUUUUUGUCGGGAAGAGCAGAAGACGGUACCCCUUGGAUGAGCCACUGCUAACUACGUGCCAGCAGCCUCGGUAAUACGUAGGUGGCAAGCGUUGUCCGGAUUUAAUGGGGGUAAAGUGCGUGCAUCCGGGCAGACAAGUCAGGUGUGAAAGCCGCGGGCUUAACCCGCGAACUGCCUUUGAAACUAUUGGUCUUGAGUACUGGAGAGGUGAGCGGAAUUCCUGGUGUAGCGGUGAAAUGCGUAGAGAUGAGGAAGAACACCAGUGGCGAAGGCAGAAGACUGGAGGGCUACUGACGGUGAGGCGCGAAAGCGUGGGGAGCAAACAGGAUUAGAUACCCUUGUAGUC
rnacentral:rRNA from 1 species